UAAAUCCUGAAGCUUGGCACAGUUUGUUUGUUCAUGGGAAAAUCCUCAAACCAGACGCUGAUUUCAUUAUGAUGAGCUGCCAACCACAUUUCAGUGAAAAGGGGACAUCUAGGGAGAGAACUGAGAGGAACAUCAUAAAUUUGCAGGAGAUUGAAGUAUCAGAAAAGACUUCAGAAACAUUUUCAAACAUCACAGAUGGAAACACAGGCGGUGCAGGUGGUGAAAAAUCAGAGUUGCUGUCCAGCAUGUGCUCCAGUGGGUGACCGGCCAGUCCCAUGUUCCCAUCCUUCCUGAUGAAAAGAGACAUUUCAAAAUAACAAGUUUGACCACGAAUGUAAGGAGCGGCUGGGAGAUCACUCCAUUUGUUACCCAGUUGUGAGUGCAUGCACUUGUACUGGGACUUUUCCAGUGCAGCAUCUGGACACUUACACAGAGGUUAAAACCAUAAUGAGUGCAGCAGUUAGAUAUGGUGGUGGAUUCCACAGAGUUUAACACAUUGUUGUCUUGUAAUUUGGAAACUAAAUGAGUAAAAAUGUUUCUAAACAUUAGCUGUUAAGAUGUUCAUGAAAAUGACAAGACUUCUUCAAAACUUUGU